AAUGGCUGCAGUAUUUUGACUGUACAAAGGUAGCAUAAUUAUUUGUCUUUUAAUUGAAGGCUUGUAUGAAUGGUUGGAUGAAAAAUGAUCUUUCUUUAAUUUAUAUAAAAAAAUUAAUUUUUUAGUUAAAAAGCUAAUAUGAUUCUAUAGGACGAGAAGACCCUAUAGAACUUUAUUUUCUAUAAUAUAAAAUCUUUUUAGAUAUUUUUAAGAUUAUAUAUUUUUGUUAAUUUYAUUGGGGUGAUCGUAAAAAAUUAUUUAACUUUUUCUAUUUUUUUCAUUUAUUUAUGAUAUUUU
rnacentral:rRNA from 1 species